rnacentral:rRNA from 1 species
CUACGGGGUGCUGCAGUGGGGAAUAUUGGACAAUGGGGGAAACCCUGAUCCAGCAAUGCCGCGUGUGUGAAGAAGGCCUGCGGGUUGUAAAGCACUUUCGGUUGGGAGGACUGCUUCUAGCACUAAUAUUGUUGGAAGUUGACGUUACCUUCAGAAGAAGCACCGGCUAACUCCGUGCCAGCAGCCGCGGUAAUGCGGAGGGUGCAAGCGUUAAUCGGAAUUACUGGGCGUAAAGCGCGCGUAGGCGGCUAGAUCAGUCGGGUGUGAAAGCCCCGGGCUUAACCUGGGGACUGCAUCCGAUACUGUCUAGCUUGAGUACAGGAGAGGAGAGUGGAAUUCCACAUGUAGCGGUGAAAUGCGUAGAUAUGUGGAGGAACACCAAUGGCGAAGGCAGCUCUCUGGCCUGAUACUGACGCUGAGGUGCGAAAGCGUGGGGAGCAAACAGGAUUAGAUACCCCCGUAGUC